UUUAACAAAUCAGAAAUGACAAAAAGGAUAAAAGAAGAGGAGAGGGAGCAUCCAUCCUCCUUCGGCCACCCCCUUACUCCGGGCGCCAACAUCGACGGCGAUUCGCCGUGUGGUCACCAUGGCCAAGGGCCGACGCGGCGUGGGGAGGUUCCCCUCUCGAGCGGGUCCAAAAAAUAAACCCAGAGAUUCGGGUUUUUGACCCUAAAAAUCGAGAAGAAAGACCCUUAAGCCCCUCCUCUUCCGAUUCAGAUCCGGCGACGGCCAAGACGAUGGGCCGACGGGGAUUCAGUGGUGUCAGAUGCGCAUAGAGGGCUAGCGAUAGAUGAGCGGCGACGGCCAGGGGCGUGCGGCUAGGUGUGGCAGACGAGGAGGCCACGCAUGGAAGCUUGCGGCAGCUAGCUUGGGGAAGCAAACUAGGGUUUAUUUUGCUGAAAUGUUAAGAUAGUGGGCUAGGGUUUUGUAAUUUUUGGGGCCCGAAAUUUUGGGUUAAUUUUGUUAUAAUGGACUGAAAUUUUUAAUAUUUGGGCCCGGGCAAAAAUGGGCUCUUACAAAUAGAGCUAUUGGAAAA